rnacentral:rRNA from 1 species
AACGAACGCUGGCGGCAUGCCUAACACAUGCAAGUCGAACGGACCCUUCGGGGUUAGUGGCGCACGGGUGCGUAACGCGUGGGAAUCUGCCCUUGGGUUCGGAAUAACUCGCCGAAAGGCGUGCUAAUACCGGAUGAUGUCGCAAGACCAAAGAUUUAUCGCCCAAGGAUGAGCCCGCGUAAGAUUAGCUAGUUGGUGGGGUAAAGGCCCACCAAGGCGACGAUCUUUAGCUGGUCUGAGAGGAUGAUCAGCCACACUGGGACUGAGACACGGCCCAGACUCCUACGGGAGGCAGCAGUGGGGAAUAUUGGACAAUGGGCGAAAGCCUGAUCCAGCAAUGCCGCGUGAGUGAUGAAGGCCUUAGGGUUGUAAAGCUCUUUUAACCGGGAUGAUAAUGACAGUACCGGGAGAAUAAGCUCCGGCUAACUCCGUGCCAGCCGCCGCAGUAAGAC